rnacentral:lncRNA from 1 species
CGUUUAUUGGGCCGGGGCUCAAGAGCCGAGUUCUCCGAGUGAGCAAUUCCUGUCCCUUUUAAGGGCUCACAACUCUAAGGGGGUGCACGUGAGAGGGUCAUGAUCGAUUGAGCAAGCAGGGAGUACGUGACUGGGGGAUGCAUGCACUGGUAAUUGGAUCGGAACAAAACAAGAUAGGGAUUUUCACAGUGCUUUUCUAUACAAUGUCUGUAAUCUAUAGAUAACCAAUUAGGUCAGGGGUCGAUCUUUAACUACCAGGCCCAGGGUGUGGCACCGGGCUGUCUGCUUGUGGAUUUCAUUUCUGCAUUUUAGUUUUUACUUUUUCUUUCUUUGGAGGCAGAAAUUGGGCAUAAGACAAAAUGAGGGGUGGUCUCCUCCUUUAGUGGUGUGCCCCUGUAAUCCCAAUUACUCAGGAGGCUGAGGCAGGAGAAUCGCUUGAGCCUGGGAGGCAGAGGUUGUAGUGAGCCAAGAUCGCACCACUGCACUCCAGUCUGGGUGACAGAGUGAGACCCU